ensembl:lncRNA
CCAUGUUACUCCUAAAUUUCUAUCUUGUUCAAAGAGAAGAUAUAAAACAGUUCUAAGCUAAUCAACCUAGUGUUCUCCUUUUUAACAACAAGAAUCGAUAAGAGAAUCGAUAAAGAAUCGAAUCGUUAAACAGAAUCGAAAAUGGAAUCGGAAUCGUUAAAAUCUUAUCAAUACCCAUCCCUACAAGGGACUGAGUGAGCUAACUGCAGAACUGUAGAUCUUAAACUCUUAGGCACAACCAACUGGUCUCCCACCCUACUGCGGCGAUAUAAUAGCUCACCCUUUAGGAAAAAUAGCUCUCUGCCUCUCUCAGUGACCUCUGUUGCGUUUGUGACAUUUUUGAAAACAGGGGGGGCUAAAGAUGGAUCCUCUCUUUGAAGCUGAGCUAUUUCAUCAGGUACAACUGGUAAUUCGUCACAUUGUGGCACUGGAACUGGUUCAAUGAACUUUGUCCCUCUCACCUUAGCCUGUCGCCUCUGGGCUCUGCUCUUUCUUAUGCAACCCUGACUUGAUCCUUCAAAAUCAGGAACAUCACUGUUAGCGAAUGGAAAUUCACUCCAACCUGAACCUUCUUCUGCGUGAUGCUUAUGUUUUGCCCUGGUGACGGCUACCAUGGACUCAGCUGUAAGACUUGGGUUGAUUUCCUCUCCCCUGGCUAUCAGAUCUCGCAAAAUGGGAAGAUCACAGCCCAACACAACCGGAUAUGGCAGUUUACUCAUAACUCCCACUGAAAGUAAAUACAGCUUGCCGUCAGUCUGAAUAUUAAUGUUGGCAAUUGGGUAAUCCACAUCAUUACCGUGAACACAGCAAACCUUUACCUUGCCGCAAAAAGUAGCAUCCCUGAUUGCACUUCCUGCUGGAGCUGAAUUUUCCGCCAGCGAUCUUCCUGCCACUGCUUCUCCAGUUCCCAUCGGGCCUCUCUGUCACUUUGUUGCCUCAUAAAACCAUGCAGGAGGUUAGAAAGUUUAGCAAGGUUAUGCAGUUCAAUACCUUGCUCUUGCUCUGCUUCCUCUAGCCGACUGAGCACUGGAGGCUCCUUACUUGCAGAGUCCAUUGGCACUGGGUGCUUUUUUGGUCUAGCCCAGGGGUGGGCAAUCUCAGUCCACGAGGGCCGGUGUCCCUGCAGGUUUUAGAUGUGUCCUCGAACCAACACAGCUGAUUUAAAUGGCUAAAUUAGCUCCUCAACAUGUCCUGAAGUUCUCCAGAGGCCUGGUAGCUAACUAAUCAUGUGAUUCAGGUGUGUUGAGCCAAGGUGAGAUCUAAAACCUGCAGGGACACCGGCCCUCGUGGACUGAGAUUGCCCACCCCUGGUCUAGCCCCUUUCUGCAUUGCUGCUACCUACUGGCCUGGAGCCACUGCUGCCACCAUUUGUGAAGUAGUCAGACUCGAACGUCAAGGAAGGUGGUAGGGAAGCAGACUACACAGACAUUUCAGGUUUCCAGAGGUGAGCAAUUUAUUUACAGUGAACUUAAUUUAAUGUGUAACUUAACAAACCUCCCCCCCCAAAGUAACUCAAUUAACAAAACUCAACAGAACAUUGAUCUGGUAGCACAACUCAGCUCUCCUCUCUCAUCUUCAUCUUAAUCUUCUUCUUCUUCUUUUUCUUCUUUCAUGUUUAACGGUGGCUUGCAUCCAAAAAUGUUGCAUUACUGCCAUCUCCUGGCUUUUAAUCUUACUUCACUCCUGAAUCCUCAGAUCCUCUUGAUGAGACUAGUAUUUCUCAAAAAACGAAAAACCACCACUUUCCCUUCACCAUGACAUAACUUAUUAACCACUUGUGCAAACAUAAGUUCCCUUCCACCACUCAUUUCAACCCUCAUCACCCUCCUGUGACUUGCAUACUUCCUACAACUAAGAAGCACAUUAAAGUAGACAGAUCAUUAACAGAUACUAAGAAGAGGAAAUUGACCACAGAUAUUUGUCAAAAACAUUUAUAACAGAUUGGAGAGCAAAUACAGUGACUUUUUACAGAUGUAUACAGAUGGGUCAAAAGAUCCCAAAACUGAAGCAACUAGUGUAGCAGUGGUAAUUCCAGAGUUAAAUAUCAAGAUUGCAAAAAGAACAUCAAAUCUUCUGAGUAUAUAUGCAGUUGAGUUAUAUGCCAUACUGCUGGCUCUAGAAUGAGUGGAAGACAGCAGAAUUUCAAAAGUACUGAUAUGUAGUGAUUCAUUGUCAGCAGUAUUAAGUAUUGAACAAGGAAACACAACUACCCAUCAGCAACUUUUGUAUGAUGUUCUUUUUGCUCAUCAUAGAUUGUCUGACCAAAAUAAACAUGUAGUAAUAAUGUGGACUCCUGCUCAUGUGGGUAUUUUGGGUAAUGAAAGAGCAGGUAGGUUGGCCAAAGCAGCUGUUAAAAAAGUCGAUAUAGAUGUACAGAUACCACUGUCAAAAUCUGAAGGGAAAAGUAUAGUUUGGACAGAAAGUAAGAACUUCUGGCAAAUGGCAUGGGAUAAUGAAACAAAAGAGAGACAUUUAUAUAGGGUGCAAAACACAAUAGAAGUUAAGAGGAGUAGUGGGUUAAAGAGACAGGAGGAGGUUAUUAUAAGUAGAAUACGAACAGGCCACUGCUUUUUAAAUGGUACUCUUUUUAGGAUAGGGAAACGUAUUUCAAUGUCCAUUGUUAUGACCCAGGUCAUUGUUGCCGUGUGGUGCUGUUACUCGCCACACCAGGCGGGGGCAUUGUUUGUACUCUGUGAUGUCUGUGUUAUGUAAGUUUCCAGGUGGAGGCUGACCAUUGGUGGAAGAGGGAAUGAGGCCGGCUACAAAUUGGGACCUGACUGGGCCGGCAGCCCCUCCUCCUGCUUCCUGUUUCCAGUGAGCUGCGCGUUUGGGGCCCUUCGUGCCGUGUGACGGAGUUUUCCGGGAUGAGAAUAGCUAGGCUGCAGUAAAAAUAGUGUAGAGAGUCUUCUAUCUGGACAUGGUAGCUGUAGGGGUGGGAAGCCGUUUCUUGUACAACCUUUUUCUCCUGUUUCGGGUAGGGAGACAGCCCCCUCCCAGGCCGGUGUGUAACACCAUAUGGGUACACAUCUGAAUCUGGUAGAGACUGGCUUUAAAUAGGGCCAUCAAUUUCCCUUCAAUUAGCCCAGCCAGUACCACUCACUUGAACUGAGGGAUCUAAAACUCUACACAGAUGAUUAAAAAAAGACACAAAACAUCUUCACACUUCUAAUUGGCACAUUUACACAACUAAACGGCUGUGUUAAUGAAAAGAAAAAGAUUCAACAAAUCCCUUU